UCAAUUGUUUUAUAAUUGAAGACUGGAAUGAAUGGUUGAAUGAAAUAUAAGCUGUCUUAUUUAUAUUUAUUAGAAAUUAACUUUUAAAUGAAGAGGUUUAAAUAUAAUUGAUAGACAAGAAGACCCUGUUGAGCUUUAAAUGAUUUUGGAAGUGUAUUGUUAUUAGAUAAAUAAGUUUAUUUUGAAAAUUUUUGGUUGGGGCGACUGAGGAACAUAAAAAGCUUCCUUUAAUUUAAUUAAAAUGUGAAAUUUUGAUCCAAUAUGAUUGAUUAAAUGAAAUAGUUACCACAGGGAUAACAGCAUAAUCUUCUUUGAGAGUUCAUAUCGAAAAGAGGGGUUGUGACCUCGAUGUUGGACUAAAAUAUCCUAUAAAUGUA
rnacentral:rRNA from 1 species